UACGGGGGGGGCGAGCGUUGUUCGGAAUUACUGGGCGUAAAGGGUUUGUAGGUGGUCUGCUAAGUCAGACGUGAAAUCCCUCAGCUUAACUGGGGAACUGCGUCUGAUACUGGCGGACUUGAGGACAGGAGAGGAACGCGGAAUUCCAGGUGUAGCGGUGAAAUGCGUAGAUAUCUGGAGGAACACCGGUGGCGAAGGCGGCGUUCUGGACUGCUCUUGACGCUGAGGCGCGAAAGCUAGGGUAGCAAACGGG
rnacentral:rRNA from 1 species